rnacentral:rRNA from 1 species
AUUGAACGCUGGCGGCAGGCCUAACACAUGCAAGUCGAGGGGUAGAAGCUUUCGGGCUUUGAGACCGGCGCACGGGUGCGUAACGCGUAUGCAAUCUGCCUUGUACUGAGGGAUAGCCCAGAGAAAUUUGGAUUAACACCUCAUAGUAUUUUUGCCUGGCAUCAGGUGAUUAUUAAAGGUUACGGUACAAGAUGAGCAUGCGUCCCAUUAGCUAGUUGGUAUGGUAACGGCAUACCAAGGCUACGAUGGGUAGGGGUCCUGAGAGGGAGAUCCCCCAAACUGGUACUGAGACACGGACCAGACUCCUACGGGAGGCAGCAGUGAGGAAUAUUGGUCAAUGGGCGCAAGCCUGAACCAGCCAUGCCGCGUGCAGGAUGAAGCAUCUAUGGUGUGUAAACUGCUUUUGUACGGGAAGAAACACUGCUACGUGUAGCAGCUUGACGGUACCGUAAGAAUAAGGAUCGGCUAACUCCGUGCCAGCAGCCGCCGCGGUAA